GAUGAACGCUGGCGGCGUGCCUAAUACAUGCAAGUCGAGCGAACAGACGAGUAGCUUGCUCCUCUGACGUUAGCGGCGGACGUGUGAGUAACACGUGGGUAACCUCGCUAUAAGACUGGGAUAACUUCGGGAAACCGGAGCUAAUACCGGAUAAUAUAUUGAACCGCAUGGCUCAAUAGUGAAAGACGGUUUUGCUGUCACUUAUAGAUGGAUCCGCGCCGCAUUAGCUAGUUGGUAAGGUAACGGCUUACCAAGGCAACGAUGCGUAGCCGACCUGAGAGGGUGAUCGGCCACACUGGAACUGAGACACGGUCCAGACUCCUACGGGAGGCAGCAGUAGGGAAUCUUCCGCAAUGGGCGAAAGCCUGACGGAGCAACGCCGCGUGAGUGAUGAAGGUCUUCGGAUCGUAAAACUCUGUUAUUAGGGAAGAACAAAUGUGUAAGUAACUAUGCACGUCUUGACGGUACCUUAUCAGAAAGCAACGGCUAACUACGUG
rnacentral:rRNA from 1 species